CCCCCCGUCGUCUAGCGGCCUAGGAUAUCAGGUUUUCAUCCUGGAGAUCAGGGGUUCGAAUCCCCUCGGGGGUA
rnacentral:tRNA from 1 species